CCUACGGGGGACAGCAGUGGGGAAUAUUGCGCAAUGGGCGAAAGCCUGACGCAGCGACGCCGCGUGAGGGAUGAAGGUCUUCGGAUCGUAAACCUCUGUCAGCAGGGAAGAACGGUCACUGUGCUAAUCAGCAGUGAAUUGACGGUACCUGCAAAGGAAGCACCGGCUAACUCCGUGCCAGCAGCCGCGGUAAUACGGAGGGUGCGAGCGUUAAUCGGAAUUACUGGGCGUAAAGCGCUCGUAGGCGGUAUGUCAAGUCAAGGGUGAAAUCCCCGCGCUCAACGUGGGAACUGCCUUUGAGACUGGGAAACGUGAGUGUGUCAGAGGAUAGUGGAAUUCCAGGUGUAGGAGUGAAAUCCGUAGAUAUGUGGAGGAACAUCAGUGGCGAAGGCGACUAUCUGGCACAUAACUGACGCUGAGGAGCGAAAGCGUGGGUAGCAAACAGGAUUAGAUACCCGUGUAGUC
rnacentral:rRNA from 1 species